UUUUUUUUCUUUUCGUAAUUUGGAGAAUUAUCCUCUGAUAAUGGAGGGGGGAAAGGGGGGCCUUUUAUAAAAGACUUUUUUGUGCUUCUUUUGUUGUCAUUCAAAGAGGAAUUAGAAAAUUAUCUAGGUUCUGCAGGCCAGCUCAGCUCUUAGGGGAAGGGAGAGAGUAAGGAAAGCUGACCUACUUUUGGAGGCUUCAUGACACUGUUUUUUAGUGACUGCAAGAUGUUUUCAUAGUAUUUCUGUCCAAAACUGAGCCAGGUGUGUACGUAGGGCGGAGGAAAGUUGGGUGUAUGUGUGAGAAUAAUGACAGUAGUCUGUGAGUUUUUUGCAGGAGAAUGCAUGAUUGCAGUUUGAAUUUUUACUUUUACUUUCACUGUUAACACACACAGGUAUACCUAAGUUUCCAGCACAUCCUCCAAAGCCUUUUGCAGGGAAACUAAGUAGGAAAAAAUUACUAUCAUAAGAUAUAUCUCUUGUAAGACACUUAAGUUGUUUCUAUUUUUCUUUAUAUUUACGAGAGUGUACAGAAACACCACCAAACUCCUCAACAUAACUUAAUUUUAUAAACAACAGAAUUAAAGUCAUCCAGGAUACAGCUCCUAAAUAUUUAUUCUCAUCCUCAAAAGCCUUUUUUGCCUUCAGUUAGAACUCUACACUGCUCUUCAUUCACAUAAAAGGGUUCCAGCUAAUGAAUUCAUCUGCUCGGCUUAUCUUCAAAUCACAUAUAGUUUUUCUUCUGGAUUUGAAAGAAACUUCUUCCUUUAGAAUACUUCUCAAAUACAAAUUAUUUGAAAGAAUUUUGUUUAAUCCUGAGAAAGAGUAGAGAAGCACAUUUUGAAUCUUCUGUGCCAACUUGAAUAUUGCCAAAAACAAUAAUAUACUUUAAUAGUUCCAACUGUAUGUAUUCAGCCCUAUUCUGACCUUUCCUUGUCUUUCUCUCUAAUGAAACACUAAGCCUGAAAAAUAAAGAGCAUUUUGAUGAUUGAAAUAAGUUUUUAUACAAUUGAUGGUUUGUGUAUAUCUGUAAAGAAUUUUAACUGUGACCAGUGGGCUGGGUUGUAGGUUAAAGGUGAAUUGAUCUAUUAGCAAUUGAAGAGACUGUCUUCAAAAACAUGGCUUAGGUAGUUGAGAGACUAUUAAACAAACAAAUAUUGCCCUAUUGAAGAUCCACAAGAAGCAAAGAGAAUUUCUGCUGUCCCAGCAAUCUGUAUAUCAGCCACUAUUCAUGGUAAGUGGCCAGCCCAAAAGAUAAUCCCUGCUUCCAAUGAAUUCGCAACACGACAUUGGACCUGGAGCCAUUCUGAAAGCAUGUUUUCCUGAACUACUUACACCAUUUGCCUUAUUGCCAAGAGUGGUAAUCAAUGCAUGAAGACGCUGACUUUUUUGCUUCAAAGGUUGAUCAUAUUAUAUCCUUACUACAGAAUGACCUGCUGUUUUGCUGAUUCUAGACUUUUUUUCUACCUUGUGUUUUUAGGGAGAGAAAGUAUAAUGCCCUUAGCUUAAAUUCUCAUGACACCUUCCUGACUCAGCAAUUAUACUCAAAUUUCUUUGUUCUUUCAAUUAGUAUUUAAAUACCUACUAUAGGCUGAGCAUGAAGUUAAUUAAGCACUGGGUAAAGAGUGUUUUAUAAAAUAGACAUGAUUUAUGGAUUCACAGAGCUCAUAGGCCACUGGGGGUGAAGAAGGCAAAAAUAAAUACAUAGAUUAUCAGAUGUAUAUUUUAUCGGAACUUCAGUGCUUUAAAGGAAAUACACUGCAAUGAUAAUGAAUAACAGAGGUAGGAAUUAAGUUAGAGUGGUCAGAAAAGGGCUUUCUGAGUUUGUAGAAAUGACAAACACAUGCAGUGGAAACACAAUAUAUGAAAGGAAAAGAACAAGUUAAAAAUGGGGAUUUAUCAGAAAGCCAAUAACUGGAUAAUAAUUCAAAGAUGACUGUAUGAAGCUAUUUGGCAUAGCACUGUUUAUCACACUGAAAAUUGCAAAAAUAGCCUACAUGUCUAACAAUAAGGAAAUUGUUAAGCAAAUUAAAUUUCACGCCUACAAUUUAAAAUUUUGCAUCCAUUAAAAAUAAGAUUGAAGAUGGACAGUCCUGUGGUUCUGGAAACAGAUCAUAGCAAAACUGCCUAGGCUCAAACUGAGGUUCAGCCACUUAGCAGCUGUGUGACCUUGGCAAGUUACAUAACCUCUCUGUACUAUUGUUAUUUGUAAAAUGAAGAUAAUGACAAUCUAAAAUAGGGUUGUUUGGAAAUUUGCAUGAGUUAAUGUAUGUAAAAGAUUUAGACAAGUAUCUUUGCAGAGUAAGGACUACUGUCAUCAUUUACAUUUACUGACUGAAAAUGUUGGCCAUCAUGAAGUCUACAACGUUGGUUACACAACUACAUAAAGAACAUUAUCUAAUAUAGUCUUUAAAAAAAUACCUUUGGAGGAGUUCCCAUUGCGGUGGCUCAGUGGUUAACGAAUCCGACUAGGAAUCAUGAGGUUGCAGGUUUAAUCCCUGGCCUUGCUCAGUAGGUUAAUUAACUGGAUGGGGGGAGUCAUUUCAUAAGUAUUUUUUUAAAAAAAGAAGUCUUUUUUUCUAAUGUGCUGAACAUUAUGCUGGAUACUGGGACUGGGGAUACGGUGAUAAAUAUAAUGAUACUUCUCCCUAUAAAUAGCUUACAAUUUGGCUCAGAUAAACAAAAAAGUAAUAGGUAUGUUACUUUAGUCCUGUAGGUGCCAAAAGUGGUCCAAUAUGUCUGAGAGGCUUCAGGGAGGAGGUGACUCAUCAGGUGAGUUUGGAAAAAUAGGUAGGGACAAGUGGAGGGGGUUUAGGCGGGGUGGCACAGUGUUCUAAAUAGAUGCAGCCAUGUGUGGAGGGCAUGGAGAGCCUGGAGACCAUAAGCCUCCAUCUUUCUGCAGCUUCUGGAAGAGGGAGCCAGUGAGAUUGCAGAGGCUGGGGGUGGGAGGUGUCAUCCUGGAAGGAUUUCACCAUGCAAGGGAACUUGAAGUUAAUCCUAAAGACAAUGAAAGGGGAACCUUUCAUUAAGGAAAUAUAAUAUGAUGAUGAUACAAUGUGUGUUCGUAAAUAAACUACAAAAACUGACAGACAUUAAAAAAAAAAACCUAUAGUUACCAAAGGGGAAAGUGUAUGUUGGGGGGGAUAAAUUAGAAGCUUGGGAUUAACAGAUACACAAUAC
rnacentral:lncRNA from 1 species